UACGAAGGGGUCUAGCGUUGUUCGGAAUUACUGGGCGUAAAGGGCGCGUAGGCGGUGUGUCAAGUCAGGCGUGAAAGCCCCGGGCUCAACCUGGGAACAGCGCUUGAGACUGGCACGCUCGAGUUCGGGAGAGGAUGGUGGAAUUCCCGGUGUAGAGGUGAAAUUCGUAGAUAUCGGGAGGAACACCGGUGGCGAAGGCGGCGAUCUGGGUAGAUACUGACGCUGAGGUGCGAAAGCGUGGGGAGCAAACAGG
rnacentral:rRNA from 1 species